rnacentral:rRNA from 1 species
AUUGAACGCUGGCGGCAGGCCUAACACAUGCAAGUCGAACGAAUGGCGGACUGGUGAGUAGUUUCUGGGAAACUGCCUGAUGGAGGGGGAUAACUACUGGAAAAGGUAGCUAAUACCGCAUACACUCGGCUGUUCCCCAAUGGGAUUAGCUAGUAGGUGGGGUAAAGGCUCACCUAGGCGACGAUCCCUAGCUGGUCUGAGAGGAUGACCAGCCACACUGGAACUGAGACACGGUCCAGACUCCUACGGGAGGCAGCAGUGGGGAAUAUUGCACAAUGGGAGCAAGCCUGAUGCAGCCAUGCCGCGUGUAUGAAGAAGGCCUUCGGGUUGUAAAGUACUUUCAGCGGGGAGGCGUUACCCGCAGAAGAAGCACCGGCUAACUCCGUGCCAGCAGCCGCGGUAAUAC